UAUAAUCCAAAAUUGACUUCGUUCGGCAUAGAUGUUUCUCUAAUUCAGAUAAAUAACUUGCAACUGGAUAUGUUAUUGGUAUGGUAGUUUUUGUUUAGUCAAACGUGUACGUUGUGGUGCAUGUUGGUGUUUUAAGAUAUCUUCUUGAGACUACCGUGAAGCAUGACAAAAAGAAACAAAACUGAAAGAGGAGGAGAAAGAGCGGUUAUAACUAUCAUUUUUUAUAGUGGUUAGAAAUAUGUUUGUAAAAUAUGUUUGUAAAAAUAUGUUUGUAAGUAAAAUAUUUAAAGGGUUCAUAUAUAUAAUAUGAAAAAAAAUGACAAUUUAUAUUUAUUGAUAAACAUUAUUAUUUGAUUUUUAAGAAAAUAAUAUAUAAUAUAAAAUGAUAUGUAAGAAAAUAAUAUAUAAAAAUUUAAAAUAUUUACUAGCUCUUGGACCAAUCAAAACAUGAGAGAUUUUGGUUUAGCAGUAAAAAUGCAAAUAAAUAUUUAGGUAUGCAAAGAACCGGAUUUUGUGUUCAUCCGAACGGUUAUAUUCUUACUGUUGCAAAUUUAUUUCGCGAAACCAUCACUGACAUACAUAUUCGCAAGAUUG
rnacentral:lncRNA from 1 species